UGAGUACGAGCUGCUACGGCGGCGAAGUGGGUGAUGUCAAGCUUCCAAAAAAAGCCCUAUACCCGUUAAGGCAUGAUGGCCUGUACCCGAAACCGACACAGGUGGGGUGGUAGAGAAUACCGAGGGGCGCGAGAUAACUCUCUCUAAGGAACUCGGCAAAAUGGCCCCGUAACUUCGGGAGAAGGGGUGCCACCGCAAGGUGGUCGCAGUGAAGAGGCCCAGGCGACUGUUUACCAAAAACACAGGUCUCCGCUAAGUCGCAAGACGAUGUAUGGGGGCUGACGCCUGCCCAGUGCCGGAAGGUUAAGGAAGCUGGUCAGCGUAAGCGAAGCUAGCGACUGAAGCCCCGGUGAACGGCGGCCGUAACUAUAACGGUCCUAAGGUAGCGAAAUUCCUUGUCGGGUAAGUUCCGACCCGCACGAAAGGCGUAACGAUCUGGGCGCUGUCUCGGGGAGAGGCUCGGCGAAAUAGAAUUGUCUGUGAAGAUGCGGACUACGUGCACCCGGACAGAAAGACCCUAUGAAGCUUUACUGUAGCUUGGUAUUGUGCUCGGGCUCGGAAUGCGCAGGAUAGGUGGGAGGCUAUGAACCAUUGCUUGUGGGUGAUGGUGAGCCACUGGUGAGAUACCACUCUUUCCGAGCUAGAGUUCUAACAGCCACCCGUUAUCCGGGGGCUGGACAGUAUCAGGUGGGCAGUUUGACUGGGGCGGUCGCCUCCUAAAAGGUAACGGAGGCGCGCAAAGGUUUGCUCAGGCUGGUUGGAAAUCAGCCGACGAGUGUAAAAGCAGAAGCAAGCUUGACUGUGAGACCUACAAGUCGAACAGGGAGGAAACUCGGCUUUAGUGAUCCGACGGUUCUGCGUGGAAGGGCCGUCGCUCAACGGAUAAAAGUUACUCUAGGAUAACAGGCUGAUCUCCCCCAAGAGUUCACAUCGACGGGGAGGUUUGGCACCUCGAUGUCGGCUCAUCGCAACCUGGGGCUGAAGUCGGUCCCAAGGGUUGGGCUGUUCGCCCAUUAAAGCGGUACGCGAGCUGGGUUCAGAACGUCGUGAGACAGUUCGGUCCAUAUCCGGUGCAUGCGCAGGAAUAUUGAGAGGAUUUCUCCCUAGUACGAGAGGACCGGGAGGAACGCACCUCUGGUGUACCAGUUAUCGUGCCAACGGUAAACGCUGGGUAGCCAUGUGCGGAGAGGAUAACCGCUGAAAGCAUCUAAGUGGGAAGCCCACCUCAAGAUGAGUAUUCCCAUGGGGUAACCCAGUAAGGUCACGGGAAGAACACCCGUUGAUAGGCUCUACGUGGAAGCGCAGUAAUGUGUGAAGCGGGGGAGUACUAAUAGACCGAGGGCUUGACU
rnacentral:rRNA from 1 species